GCCGGGAUCGCAUAAUCUGGCAUUGCGCAGCCCUGGAAAGGCUGUUUCCGAAAGGAUGUCUGGGUUCAAACAUACUCACUGGCGUUAGUAGCUUUGCAAUGCUUGUGAGCGUUGAAAGUCCCAGUCCCGGCG
rnacentral:tRNA from 1 species